rnacentral:rRNA from 1 species
GACGUAGGGCGCGAGCGUUGUCCGGAUUUAUUGGGCGUAAAGAGCUCGUAGGCGGCUUGUUGCGUCAGCUGUGAAAACCCGCAGCUCAACUGUGGGCUUGCAGCUGAUACGGGCAGGCUUGAGUUCGGUAGGGGAGACUGGAAUUCCUGGUGUAGCGGUGAAAUGCGUAGAUAUCGUCUGGAACGCCGAAGGUGAAAACAGCUCGCUGGGGCUGCGCUGACGCUGAGACACGAAAGCCAGGGGAGCGAACGGG